UGAGGAAUAUUGGGCAAUGCCCGCAAGGGUGACCCAGCAACGCCGCGUGGAGGAUGAAUGUCGUAAGAUUGUAAACUCCUGUUAGAGGGGAAGAAUAGUACCGGUUGGACCGGUAUAUGACUGUACCCUCAGAGAAAGCCCCGGCUAACUACGUGCCAGCAGCCGCGGUAAUACGUAGGGGGCAAGCGUUGUCCGGAUUUACUGGGUGUAAAGGGCGCGCAGGCGGGAUAAAAAGUCAGUGGUGAAAUCCUACAGCUUAACUGUAGAACUGCCUUUGAUACUUUUAGUCUUGAGUUCGGGAGAGGGAGACGGAAUUCCAGGUGUAGUGGUGAAAUACGUAGAUAUCUGGAAGAACACCAGUUGCGAAGGCGGUCUCUUGGUCCGACACUGACGCUGAGGCGCGAAAGCGUGGGGAGCAAACA
rnacentral:rRNA from 1 species